GACAAUACACACCUAGGAAUAAAAUUGAGAAAGGAAAUGGGGAAUGUGUCAAAGCGACAACAACCCGACCAUAGAGCAGACAACAGCCGAAGGCCACCAAUGGGUCUUCAAUGUAGCGAGAAUUCCCGCACCCGUAGGUGUCCUUCAGCUGGCCCCUAAAAAUAUAUAUACUAGUACAGUGAUAAUGGACGUCAUACUAAACUCCGAAUAAUACACAAGAAACUAAAAUUAAAAAUUAUACAAGACUUACAAAGGCCAGAGGCUCCUGACUUGGGACAGGCGCAAAAUUGCGGCAG
rnacentral:lncRNA from 1 species